GUGCCUUUAGCUCAGCUGGAUAGAGCAACUGCCUUCUAAGCAGUAGGUCGAGGGUUCGAGUCCCCCAAGGCACGCCA
rnacentral:tRNA from 1 species